GACGUGGCAUAGUGGUUUGAGCAUUAGACUACAACUCUGGAGACCAGGGUUCGAUUCCCAGCUUGGCCA